AAAACAACUAUGAUUACAUAAUAUUAGUGCUGUAGAAGCACCUAUGUAUAAAACCUAAAACACUGUGUCCACAGAAGGCGUGCAGCGGUUUCGUUUCUCCAGGUCUUACCAUUUGGGACAGGGCCUGAGACAGACACAGCAGCAGAACCAGAAUGGAAGCCAGUUUCCUGUCCAUGUUGCUCCUUCGCUGAAGAUGCGACUGCAGGUGACCAGGAGGGAAGCUGUGUCUAGUCCACUGUCAGAAGAUUACCAAAUUUUAGAGAAGGACGUUAAUGACUGAGACGAAAAGAAACUUCAUGAACUGAGAUGCCAAGGAUUACGAAGACUUGAGUGUUAGGUGGACAGAAAUGUGAUCACUUGUGCAGAUGUCCUCAUCGGAUUUUGAAACGCACUCGCUGUUAAAAUGGAAACAUAAUGAUACACAUAGAGACAUGACAUCUUGCUAUAUGAUGGCAAGAUAUCACAACCUCUUUAUUCUGAGUUACUGAACACCUGUGUAGACCAGUGGAUCUGGAUGAAUUUUCGCAAAAAAAAAUCAACCCAGUGGACUCAACAGCGAAUCUCUCACAUGAGCCAAGACAAAGGACUGUCCCUUCGAGGGUUUUGGUGACACACCUUUGUGUUAGAACAGGAACAAUGCUCCCUCUCAACACACACUACCCCUCCCUAAAGAGACGCAGACCCCAUCAGACGCAUGUAUUCAGUGUUUAAAGCAGCAGUGUGUGUGUGUGUUGUGUGUGUGUGCAUGUCAUCCUACAUUUUACCAUGCAAUCAUUUAGCAAAGGAUUUGAGUAUAUUUGCUUAGGUAUCUAAGCCAUGAUCUAUGGUAACCCCUUGCUCUAGCCGUUGACCAAUAUGAGCAACCUAAAGCAG
ensembl:lncRNA